rnacentral:lncRNA from 1 species
ACCCUGCUCUGUGUCUAGAAGAGAGCUGAACACGCAGUAGAACACAAUAAAUUAUAUUCAAAUGGCAGUCAAGGAGGAAACUUUUCUUCCUCAUCAACAAAGCUGAUCGAUGGGGGCUGAAGCCCCAGGGAAGAAGCAUCUGUUGUAACUCAAGGAUCCCGGCUUGAGCUGAGGAUGGAAUUAACAGGCACAGAGUGGUUGGCAGCCCAACGUUUGUGCAAGUCUGGCACAUGCACACAUCAUUAGCAACUAUGCUGGAGAAGAAUGAUCAAGGAGACACUGCUGUUUGUUUGCUCUGCUGUUUGUUG